ACGGGUGAGUAAUACAUCGGAACGUGCCCAAGAGUGGGGGAUAACGGAGCGAAAGCUUUGCUAAUACCGCAUACGAUCUACGGAUGGAAGCAGGGGACCGCAAGGCCUUGCGCUCAUGGAGCGGCCGAUGGCAGAUUAGGUAGUUGGUGGGAUAAAAGCUUACCAAGCCGACGAUCUGUAGCUGGUCUGAGAGGACGACCAGCCACACUGGGACUGAGACACGACCCAGACUCCUACGGGAGGCAGCAGUGGGGAAUUUUGGACAAUGGGCGCAAGCCUGAUCCAGCCAUGCCGCGUGCAGGAUGAAGGCCUUCGGGUUGUAAACUGCUUUUGUACGGAACGAAAAGCCUCUUUCUAAUAAAGAGGGGUCAUGACGGUACCGUAAGAAUAAGCACCGGCUAACUACGUGCCAGCAGCCGCGGUAAUACGUAGGGUGCGAGCGUUAAUCGGAAUUACUGGGCGUAAAGCGUGCGCAGGCGGUAAUGUAAGACAGAUGUGAAAUCCCCGGGCUCAACCUGGGAACUGCAUUUGUGACUGCAUUGCUGGAGUGCGGCAGAGGGGGAUGGAAUUCCGCGU
rnacentral:rRNA from 1 species